AUUGAACGCUGGCGGCAUGCCUUACACAUGCAAGUCGAACGGUAACAGGUCUUCGGAUGCUGACGAGUGGCGAACGGGUGAGUAAUACAUCGGAACGUGCCUAGUAGUGGGGGAUAACUACUCGAAAGAGUGGCUAAUACCGCAUGAGAUCUACGGAUGAAAGCAGGGGAUCGCAAGACCUGUUGCUCCUAGAGCGGACGAUGGCAGAUUAGGUAGUUGGUGGGAUAAAAGCUUACCAAGCCGACGAUCUGUAGCUGGUCUGAGAGGACGAUCAGCCACACUGGGACUGAGACACGGCCCAGACUCCUACGGGAGGCAGCAGUGGGGAAUUUUGGACAAUGGGCGCAAGCCUGAUCCAGCAAUGCCGCGUGCAGGAUGAAGGCCUUCGGGUUGUAAACUGCUUUUGUACGGAACGAAAAGCCCUGGGUUAAUACCCUGGGGUCAUGACGGUACCGUAAGAAUAAGCACCGGCUAACUACGUGCCAGCAGCCGCGGUAACAC
rnacentral:rRNA from 1 species